UAGGGAAUCUUCCGCAAUGGACGCAAGUCUGACGGAGCAACGCCGCGUGAGUGAAGAAGGAUUUCGGUUCGUAAAACUCUGUUGUUAGAGAAGAACAGCGCAUAGAGUAACUGUUAUGCGUGUGACGGUAUCUAACCAGAAAGCCACGGCUAACUACGUGCCAGCAGCCGCGGUAAUUCGUAGGUGGCAAGCGUUGUCCGGAUUUAUUGGGCGUAAAGCGAGCGCAGGCGGUCAAUUAAGUCUGAUGUGAAAGCCCCCGGCUCAACCGGGGAUGGUCAUUGGAAACUGGUUGACUUGAGUGCAGAAGAGGAGAGUGGAAUUCCAUGUGUAGCGGUGAAAUGCGUAGAUAUAUGGAGGAACACCAGUGGCGAAGGCGACUCUCUGGUCUAUAACUGACGCUGAGGCUCGAAAGCGUGGGUAGCAAACAGG
rnacentral:rRNA from 1 species